rnacentral:misc_RNA from 1 species
GAUGAAGAACGUAGCGAAAUGCGAUACUUGGUGUGAAUUGCAGAAUCCCGUGAACCAUCGAGUCUUUGAACGCAAGUUGCGCCCGAAGCCAUUAGGCCGAGGGCACGCCUGCCUGGGCGUCACACGUCGUUGCCCCCCCAUCUACUCCUUCGGGAGUGCGGGGGGCGGAUGAUGGCCUCCCGUGCGCCUCGCCGCGCGGUUGGCAUAAAUGCCAAGUCCUCGGCGACGCACGCCACGACAAUCGGUGGUUGCGAAACCUCGGUUGCCCGUCGUGUGCGGUCGUCGCGCAUCGAGGGCUCGAAAAAAUUGCCGGGUUCCGGCUCGGCUUUCAACGCGACCCCAGGUCAGGCGGGGUUACCCGCUGAAUUUAAGCAUAUCAAUAAGCGGAGGA